rnacentral:rRNA from 1 species
CUGGUUGAUCCUGCCAGUAGUCAUAUGCUUGUCUCAAAGAUUAAGCCAUGCAUGUUUCAGUAUAAGCUUCUAUAUGGCAAAACUGCGAAUGGCUCAUUAAAACCUUUAUAGUUCAUUUGAUGGUCUCUCACUACAUGGAUAACUGUGGUAAUUCUAGAGCUAAUACAUGCGCCCGAACCCGACUUCGCAGAAGGGUUGUGCUUAUUAUACACAGAACCAACCCAGGCUCUGCCUGGUCUUGUGGUGAGUCAUAAUAACUGUACGAAUCGCAUGGCAUCGCCUGCGAUAAAUCAUUCAAGUUGCUGACCUAUCAGCUUCCGACGGUAGGGUAUUGGCCUACCGUUGCAAUGACGGGUAACGGAGAAUUAGGGUUCGAUUCCGGAGAGGGAGCCUGAGAAACGGCUACCACAUCUAAGGAAGGCAGCAGGCGCGCAAAUUACCCAAUCCCGACACGGGGAGGUAGUGACAAGAAAUAACAAUACAGGCCAUCCAUGUCUUGUAAUUGGAAUGAGUAGAAUUUAAAUCCCUUUACGAGUAUCGAUUGGAGGGCAAGUCUGG